rnacentral:rRNA from 1 species
AUUGAACGCUGGCGGCAGGCCUAACACAUGCAAGUCGAGCGGCAGCGCGGGGGUAACCCUGGCGGCGAGCGGCGGACGGGUGAGUAACGCGUAGGAAUCUACCCAGUAGCGGGGGAUAGCCCGGGGAAACUCGGAUUAAUACCGCAUACGCCCUAAGGGGGAAAGCAGGGGAUCUUCGGACCUUGCACUAUUGGAAGAGC